GACGAACGCUGGCGGCGUGCUUAACACAUGCAAGUCGAACGGAAAGGCCCUUCGGGUUCUUCGAGUGGGGAAGGGGUGAGUAACACGUGGGUGAUUGGCCCUCCACUUUGGGAUAAGCCUGGGAAAUUGGGCCUAAUACGGAAUAGGCCAACGCGCUUCUGGGGGUGUGGUGGAAAGCUUUUGCGGUGUGGGUUGGGCCCCCGGCCUAUCAGCUUGUUGGUGGGGUAAUGGCUUACCAAGGCGACGACGGGUAGCCGGCCUGAGAGGGUGACCGGCAACACUGGGACUGAGAUACGGCCCAGACUCCUACGGGAGGCAGCAGUGGGGAAUAUUGCACAAUGGGCGCAAGCCUGAUGCAGCGACGCCGCGUGAGGGAUGACGGCCUUCGGGUUGUAAACCUCUUUCAAUAGGGACGAAGCGCAAGUGACGGUACCUAUAGAAGAAGCACCGGCCAACUACGUG
rnacentral:rRNA from 1 species